rnacentral:rRNA from 1 species
UGGGGAAUAUUGCACAAUGGGCGAAAGCCUGAUGCAGCAACGCCGCGUGAGCGAAGAAGGUCUUCGGAUUGUAAAGCUCUGUCCUUGGGGAAGAUAAUGACGGUACCCUUGGAGGAAGCCCCGGCUAACUACGUGCCAGCAGCCGCGGUAAUACGUAGGGGGCUAGCGUUAUCCGGAAUUACUGGGCGUAAAGGGUGCGUAGGUGGUUUCUUAAGUCAGAGGUGAAAGGCUACGGCUCAACCGUAGUAAGCCUUUGAAACUGGGAAACUCGAGUGCAGGAGAGGAGAGUGGAAUUCCUAGUGUAGCGGUGAAAUGCGUAGAUAUUAGGAGGAACACCAGUUGCGAAGGCGGCUCUCUGGACUGUAACUGACACUGAGGCACGAAAGCGUGGGGAGCAAACAGGAUUAGAUACCCUGGUAGU